CCUAUGUGUAUCCUUACAGGUCUUCGUCAAUUGGUUUUGUUAAUAAGAUAUAUCACCCGAAUGUCGAUGAACUGUCUGGUUUCGUCUGCUUGGAUGUCAUUAACCAGACAUGGAGCCCAAUGUUUGAUCUUGUCAAUGUGUUUGAAGUCUUCCUUCCACAACUUUUGUUAUAUCCAAAUCCUUCUGAUCCAUUGAAUGGAGAAGUUGUUGCGCUCUUGAUGUGUGAUCGCCCUGCUUAUGAGCAAAAAGUGAAAGGUGAUUAUAUUAAUUUAAC